GUCAUAUGCUUGUUUCAAAGAUUAAGCCAUGCAUGUCUCAGUGCAAGCCGAAUUAAGGUGAAACCGCGAAAGGCUCAUUAAAUCAGCUAUGAUUCAAUUGAUGGUACGAUCACGGUUACUUGGAUAACUGUGGCAAUUCUAGAGCUAAUACAUGCUAAACGAGUUCCGACCGCGGGUUCGAUCGAUCUCGCGGAACGAAUGCUUUUAUUAGAACAAAACCAAUCGGAUCUCAAUCGAGAUCCGCAAAUCUAUGACGAAUCUGAAUAACUUUGAGCUGAUCGCACGGUCUCUGGAACCGGCGACGCAUCUUUCAAAUGUCUGACUUAUCAACUUUCGAUGGUAGGCUACGCGCCUACCAUGGUGAUAACGGGUGACGGGGAAUCAGGGUUCGAUCCCGGAGAGGGAGCCUGAGAAACGGCUACCACAUCCAAGGAAGGCAGCAGGCGCGCAAAUUACCCACUCCCGGCACGGGGAGGUAGUGACGAAAAAUAACGAUGCAGGACUCUUUUCGAGGCUCUGCAAUCGGAAUGAGAACACUCUAAAUCAUUUAACGAGUAUCCAUUGGAGGGCAAGUCUGGUGCCAGCAGCCGCGGUAAUUCCAGCUCCAAUAGCGUAUAUUAAAGUUGCUGCGGAUAAAAAGCUCGUAGUUUGAUUUGUGUUCCGAGCAGUCGGUACGCCGUUCGUCGGCGGUCAACUGACUCGCGGCGGAACGUCCUGCCGGUUGACGGAGCGGGAGGCGGCGGAGGCGGCGCGAGUCGUCGCCGCCGCCUUGAGUGGUCGGAGGAAAGAGCACCGCGCGAUCUUCGGAUCGCGGCGCGCGCUUCGCGUCCGACGACGUUUCUGCGUCCGUCAGUCAUUGAGAAAAUCCCGUCGCGGCGCUCUUAACCGAGUGACGCGCCGGGCCGGCACGUUUACUUUGAACAAAACUGAGUGCUUAAAGCACGCCGAACCCAAGCGCCUGAAAGUCGGAUGCAUGGAAUAAUGGAAUAGGGCCUCGGUUCUAUUUUGUUGGUUUUCGGAAUUUCCGAGGCAAUGAUUAAUGGGGACAGGCGGGGGCAUUAGUAUUGCGGCGUUAGAGGUGAAAUUCUUGGAUCGUCGCAAGACUAACCUAAGCGAAAGCAUUUGCCAAGGAUGUUUUCCUUAAUCAAGAACGAAAGUUGGAGGUUCGAAGGCGAUCAAAUACCGCCCUAGUUCUUACCGUAAACUAUGCCGGCUAGCGAUCCGUCGAUGUUCGUUCAGAUGAUUCGGCGGGCAGCUUGAGGGAAACCAAAGCCUUCGGGUUCCGGGGGAAGUAUGGUUGCAAAGCUGAAACUUAAAGGAAUUGACGGAAGGGCACCACCAGGAGUGGAGCUUGCGGCUUAAUUUGACUCAACACGGGAAACCUCACCAGGCCCGGGCACCGGAAGGAUUGACAGAUCAAGAGCUCUUUCUUGAUUCGGUGGGUGGUGGUGCAUGGCCGUUCUUGGUUGGUGGAGCGAUUUGUCUGGUUAAU
rnacentral:rRNA from 1 species